AUUGAACGCUGGCGGCAUGCCUAACACAUGCAAGUCGAACGGCAGCACGGUCUGGUUUACCAGAUGGGUGGCGAGUGGCGAACGGGUGAGUAAAGCGUAGGAAUAUACCUUAAAGAGGGGGAUAACCUGGGGAAACUCAGGCUAAUACCGCGUAAACUCUGCGGAGCAAAGCUGGGGACCGAAAGGCCUGGCGCUUUAAGAAUAGCCUGCGUCCGAUUAGCUAGUUGGUGGGGUAAAGGCUCACCAAGGCGACGAUCGGUAGCUGGUCUGAGAGGACGAACAGCCACACUGGGACUGAGACACGGCCCAGACUCCUACGGGAGGCAGCAGUGGGGAAUAUUGGACAAUGGGGGGAACCCUGAUCCAGCAAUGCCGCGUGUGUGAAGAAGGCCUGAGGGUUGUAAAGCACUUUCAGUGGGGAGGAGGAUUACUAGGUUAAGAGCCAGGUAAUUGGACGUUACCCACAGAAGAAGCACCGGCUAACUCCGUGCCAGCAGCCGCGGUAAUGUAGUCGUG
rnacentral:rRNA from 1 species